CGAUUAAAGCUCCUUCGGGAGUGUAUAAAGUGGCGCACGGGUGACUAACACGUAGGUAAUCUACCUUUGAGUGGGGAAUAACAAUCGGGAACGAUGGCUAAUACCGCAUAAUGCACCGGCAUCCAAAGAUGACAGUUGUUAAAGGAGCAAU
rnacentral:rRNA from 1 species